ACACACACCUUCAAUACAUUUACAUGAACACACACACACACCUUCAAUACAUUUACAUGAACACACACACACACACACACCUUCAAUACAUUUACAUGAACACACACACACCUUCAAUACAUUUACAUGAACACACACACACACCUUCAAUACAUUUACAUGAACACACACACACACACACACACACCUUCAAUACAUUUACAUGAACACACACACCUUUACCUCUGUGUGUAUUUUGCUGCCAUGUUGGGCCCAUCAGAUCCGGUUUGGUGAAGAUGAAAUGUAACUGGUUUUACAAGUUAACAGCAGAUGAAAACAGUGUAUACAGGUGUGUAUGUUGCUACCAGACUUACUGUCUCUGGUUCUGUGAUGUACAACAGUUAACUAACAGGUGUGUAUGUUGCUACCAGACUUACUGUCUCUGGUUCUGUGAUGUACAACAGUUAACUAACAGGUGUGUAUGUUGCUACCAGACUUACUGUCUCUGGUUCUGUGAUGUACAACAGUUAACUAACAGGUGUGUAUGUUGCUACCAGACUUACUGUCUCUGGUUCUGUGAUGUACAACAGUUAACUAACAGGUGUGUAUGUUGCUACCAGACUUACUGUCUCUGGUUCUGUGAUGUACAACAGUUAACUAACAGGUGUGUAUGUUGCUACCAGACUUACUGUCUCUGGUUCUGUGAUGUACAACAGUUAACUAACAGGUGUGUAUGUUGCUACCAGACUUACUGUCUCUGGUUCUGUGAUGUACAACAGUUAACUAACAGGUGUGUAUGUUGCUACCAGACUUACUGUCUCUGGUUCUGUGAUGUACAACAGUUAACUAACAGGUGUGUAUGUCGCUCUGUUGAUUGUGUUGUCAG